AAUUCACUUGGCUUGAAAAAGGUUCUGAGAGAGAACCGAAACGUUGCUGUAUGACAUGUGUGAAUAAAUAGCAAAUUUUUCACUUUUAAGGAGUGCCAUGGAUUUUUGCAACUUUAAUCUACCACUUCUCAGCCUGACACCUACACU